UACGCUUCCCACUUUUCAUUGUUUGCAGCAAUUCCACCUCCUAUUUUCAAUGCUGAUUUCCUAUUCUCAAUACAAACCCUUCAAUUCUAUUUUCUUUUCUCCCAAUUUCCAAUUCCCAAUUCCUAAUCAACAACCAUUAUUUUAUCAUUUCCUCCAUCUUCAUCAUUCAUCUUCUUUCAAAUUUUUUUUUAUCGCAUGUGAAUGCAAAUGGGAGGCAAGAAAAUUUCACUAAUGGUAAUUAUAUAGUUGAGGAGGAAUCUUCUUAUGCACAUAGUGGAGAGUCCUUCAAAAGAAAUUUUCAACUUCUCCUUUUGCAAAAAGCUCCGAUGCAGAUGCAGAAACACACAGGUAGUUUGUUCUCUAUUUUUUCUGUCUCGAAGCUGGUCUGUUGCCCCCGGUCCAUUUCACGGCACCUCCGUUGAUUGCUAACGCGGUUGUUCUUUCGUCCAACCGGGAGAAUCGCCGAUAGCCACGACGACGAACAAGGAAAAACCGAAGACGACGGUUCACACGAUUUUCCAGACGAAUUCUCCGUCUUAUUAGAUCUCGAACGGGACAAAUCUGACAGAAUCUCGAAGACUGCGUUGUUGCUCCGUUCAGAAGAAUAUUGUCAAGACACCCAAUUCUCAUUCAAUGUUACUUCAAGAGAUUCAAGAGAAUGCAGGAAAAAUAUAAAGUUUAAUUAUCUUUUUAGUUUAAACAUUUGCCUUCUAUUUUCUCUAUCAGUUUUAACGCUUGAAAUCAUUAUGCUCACUUGAGAAAGUUGUGCAAGAGUAUAGUUAUUCGAAGGUGGAAGGUAUUACUGGUAGGUGGAAGGUAAUGCUUAUUAUAGUGCAUCUCAUUACCUGUGAGCUUAUAAUUGAAGUCAAUGAUUAGUUUGGACACAGAGUUUAACUUUAGUUGUCUUAUAUUAGACAUUAUUUAUGAAUUGUUCUAAUUUUGGUUUAUAUGAUUUGUACAUUUUAUUCACCAAAACAAAAAUACAAGGAACAUGAACACUAAAAGUAGACGUGCUUUGGGUACACAGAAGAAUAUUAUGAAAUGAAAGGCUUCUGAAUUGAUUUUUAUGAUCUGAAGUUGGUGUUAAUAGCCUUAUUUUUAUGAUCAGUCAGGCUUCUGAAUUGAUUUUAUUAGGAAAGAAUCAUGAGUUGUUUCAGCUGUUUCCAAGAGGAUGAGUUCCACAAGGUUGCUGAAAGUGGAGAACUGUAAAAAUCCAGCAGGUGACAUUAAAGAUGAUAUUGAAAAUCUAAACUUCAUAGAAGAAAGAAAGAGAAAUUUCAAAACUUCAUAGUAUAAAGAAAGAGAAAAAUCAAAACUUCAUAGAAGAAAGGGAGCUUGGUGUUGGAAUUGAACCAUGUAGUCCUCUUGGGAAUUUGGUUUUUUUUUGUUGUUGUUGGAAUUGUAUACUUAGACUGUGUUUUUUCUGCAUGUCAUGAAACUAUUAAAGAGGAUGUGAUUGUACAAACUCAAAUAUAUACAUAUUGUUUGAUUGAG